GACCGAGGUUGUGUUUUCUUCAAAAUCAGUUAAUGAUCUAACGGAAAGUAUUAUUCACUCUCAUCCACCAUUCAUUUAUGUACGAAGAUUUACCUCUGUUCAUCAAGCAAACGGCGAGGAAAGUCGUCUCCCGUCUCUGAACACAAUGGUGGUAAUGUACCGAUCCAAUUUUUGGCAAACCGUUUACCAUCGUAAGCAAUGAAACUCGGCAUUGCCUCCACGGACCAAUAAAGAGGUCAGCGAUGAUGACAGCGAAGGAGAACUCCAGGGGGUCAGUGAUGAGGCACGAAGGAAAUGCGAUGACAGCAAAAAUGCUAGAAAAACAAAGAAGAAAUGCAAGAAGAAGAAAAGGAGCAGACAGAAAAGUAACGAGUCAUCUGAAACUGCUGUAAUGAAUAGGGUGGAUUCAGGUGGUAAAGAAGCAUCUGUACAAAGUGGAGAUUGGGAUGAAUGGAAGCAAAAAGAUGAACAGUUUGUACUUGGUCAAUUCCAAAGGGACCUAAAGGAAGCUUUGGAAGCAAGUAAACAAGAUGCUUGGCAUGCUAAACAAAAGCAAGAAUUGAUGAAAACAAUGACAAUUAGCCAUGAAGAUGAUGAGAGGAAGAAGGAAAAGCCUGUUGUGAUGUCAUUUAAUGAGUUUCAACCCAUGAGAUCCACAACGGGGAUAAAUUCACCAAAGCUUGAAGAAUCUUCCAAAACAGGACUUGAUAAUUUUCCUGCCUGGCCUAAUGGUUUUUCUGUAGGUACAAGGGGAAGUACAAGACAUUCAAAAGAGCCUUCUGUGCCAGAUUUGCAGCCAUGUACCUCAGGAAUUGCUCUUAAUGAAGUGCAGGUUAAGAGCGACAAUGAGAAGAAUGAUAAACCUGAGAAGUCAGCCUUACUCUCAAACAGAUCCAAUAAUGGAGGUAGAAUUCCAGACCACUCUACGCAAAUGUUAACAGAAAAAAAACUACUCCCAGCUGCCCAUGAAGACCAGUUACAUGCAGAAAUGGUUCACAUUAAAGAAAAGCUUUUCAAAUCAAAUCUUGAACUCAGUGAGCUUAAGAAAAUGAGGACUGAACAUAUCACAAUGAUUGAAGAUCUAAAAAAUGAAUUGCUUCAAGUGAAAAAGAGAAAUAAGCAAUUGUGUUUCAUCCUCAGCCAAGCAGAAAGGCAGCUAACAAGGUGUGCCAGCGUCUCAGGCCGGAGGAUCGCGAAUACCUCGAUUUUGUAUUGGACGACGACGCCCUACCAGAGAAUUUCCUUGCUUCUGACAUCGAAAUCAGAAACAAACAUCACCUGGUGUUUGCCGUUGAAGCUCAGCUUGAACUCCAGGCAAAAGCCAAAACAUGGUACAUCGACGACACCUUUAAACUCGUACGACGUUCUUUUACUCAACUGUUAACAAUGAAUGCCUUUGUUAGAUCUGGCGAAAGUUGCAAGCAAGUAUCUCUGAUCUACGUGCUAAUGUCGUCUCGAAAAAAGAAAGACUACAUGAAGGUUCAAGACCAUGAUCUCGGUGUGCCGUACAGCAGCGAUGACUGUAUCUACCAUUACAUCACGGCCCUUAUGGUUCUGCCGUACCUGCCGCACCAGGAAAUUUCAGGAAUUUUCCAAAGACUGAACUCCGUGCGACCACCCAAGCCCUUCAAGACCUAGUAAAUUUUAUGUCGACGCAGUGGAUUAAAAGCUCUACAUUUUCCCCCAGUUCUUGGAGCGUCUACGGACAGCCUGUGCGUACGAACAAUGAUAUUGAGGUCUGGCAAAACG